CAAGGCGACGAUGCGUAGGGGUUCUGAGAGGAAGGUCCCCCACACUGGUACUGAGACACGGACCAGACUCCUACGGGAGGCAGCAGUGAGGAAUAUUGGUCAAUGGGCGGGAGCCUGAACCAGCCAAGUCGCGUGAGGGAAGACGGUCCUAUGGAUUGUAAACCUCUUUAGGCGGGGAGCAAUGCCGGGCACGCGUGCCCGGAGGGAGAGUACCCGCAGAAUAAGCAUCGGCUAACUCCGUGCCAGCAGCCGCGGUAAUACGGAGGAUGCGAGCGUUAUCCGGAUUUAUUGGGUUUAAAGGGUGCGUAGGCGGAUUUUUAAGUCAGCGGUAAAAUGUCCGGGCUCAACCCGGGCCGGCCGUUGAAACUGGGGAUCUUGAGUGGGCGAGAAGUAUGCGGAAUGCGUGGUGUAGCGGUGAAAUGCAUAGAUAUCACGCAGAACUCCGAUUGCGAAGGCAGCAUACCGGCGCCCGACUGACGCUGAGGCACGAAAGCGUGGGGAUCGAACAGGAUUAGAUACCCUGGUAGUCCACGCAGUAAACGAUGAAUGCUAGUUGUCCGGUUCUUUGGGACUGG
rnacentral:rRNA from 1 species